rnacentral:rRNA from 1 species
GAUAAACGCUGGCGGCGCACAUAAGACAUGCAAGUUGAACGGACUUAAUCGAAAUAUUUCUAUUUUGAAGCGGUUAGUGGCGGACUGGUGAGUAACGCGUAAGGAACCUGCCUAUUAGAGGGGAAUAACAGUGAGAAAUCAUUGCUAAUACCGCAUAUGCCAUAGAUAUCACAUGAUAACAGUGGGAAAGGAGCAAUCCGCUAAUAGAUGGCCUUGCGUCUGAUUAGAUAGUUGGUGGGGUAACGGCCUACCAAGUCGACGAUCAGUAGCCGGACUGAGAGGUUGAACGGCCACAUUGGGACUGAGAUACGGCCCAGACUCCUACGGGAGGCGGCAGGCGGGAAUAUUGCGCAAUGGAGGAAACUCUGACGCAGUGACGCCGCGUAUAGGAAGAAGGUUUUCGGAUUGUAAACUAUUGUCGUUAGGGAAGAGAAAGGACAGUACCUAAGGAGGAAGCUCCGGCUAACUACGUG